rnacentral:rRNA from 1 species
CUCCUCCCGUGGAUUCAGUUGGUCAGCCGGUCCACGCCGAACUUCAACGCUCCACUAGUGACCUCUCUUGCUGAUCAAUGGAGGCCAGAGAUGCACAAUUUCCAUCUUCGAACUGGGAAGAUGACCGUGACGCUCGAGGAUGUCGCCUUGAUCACCGGGCUUCCUAUCAAUGGGAGG